GCAAGUCGAACGAAGUAGUAAUACUUAGUGGCAGACGGGUGAGUAACAUGUAGGUAUCUUCCCUUUGGUGAGGAAUAACACGAGGAAACUUGUGCUAAUACCUCAUAAGUCUUUACGGAGAAAGCUUUAUGCGCCAAUGGAUGAGCCUGCACUUGAUUAGUUUGUUGGUAGGGUAAUGGCCUACCAAGACUGUGAUCAAUAGCUGAUUUGAGAGGAUGAUCAGCCACAUUGGGACUGAGACACGGCCCAAACUCCUACGGGAGGCAGCAGUAGGGAAUCUUGCACAAUGGAGGAAACUCUGAUGCAGCGAUGCCGCGUGAGUGAAGAAGGCCUUUGGGUUGUAAAGCUCUUUCGUCGGGGAAGAAAAUGACUGUACCCGAAUAAGAAGGUCCGGCUAACUUCGUGCCAGCAGCCGCGGUAAUACGAAGGGACCUAGCGUAGUUCGGAAUUACUGGGCUUAAAGAGUUCGUAGGUGGUUAAAAAAGUUGGUGGUGAAAUCCCAGAGCUUAACUCUGGAACUGCCAUCAAAACUUUUUAGCUAGAGUAUGAUAGAGGAAAGCAGAAUUUCUAGUGUAGAGGUGAAAUUCGUAGAUAUUAGAAAGAAUACCGAUUGCGAAGGCAGCUUUCUGGAUCAUUACUGACACUGAGGAACGAAAGCAUGGGUAGCGAAGAGGAUUAGAUACCCUCGUAGUCCAUGCCGUACACGAUGUGUGUUAGACGUUGGAAAUUUAUUUU
rnacentral:rRNA from 1 species